AUGCCUCCGCCGCUGAAGGACAUGCUGCCGCUCGCCGCGGCGGCGACCGAGUGCCGGCUCACCGGACUAGGCACGAUCAAGAGACGCACCAACCAAAGCAAACGCCACCCAUGCACAGUGCGCGUGCACGGCCACCUCACCGUCGUCUACGAGCUGCUGGAGCUGGGGGGCUCACGCACCAGCCGGCCCCUCCACCACCUCCAGGUCCAGUACGAUGAGGACGCGCCCCGGAGCUUCGACCGCACGUUCCUGCUCAACGACCCCAGGACCUUCUUCCGGAGCCGCUCGGCCUGCCGCGACGGGAUCAACCAGAUGCUCACGCGGACGCCGGCCCUCCGCGACUUCGACCUCGCCGCCGCCAACUGGGACGGCGGCUUCCUGCCCGACGACCUCGCCGGAACCAUCACGGGGAGGGCCCGGCUCGACGAGGAAGGCCAUCACGGCGGCAACGCGCCGCGCUUCAGCCUCGACCUGUCCCUGACCGUCUUCGUGCGGGCCGUCUGCAGCGAGGCCAAGCUGCAGGCGCUCGCGUGCAGGGAGGCCACCGCCCAGUGUGGGCUGUCCGUGGCGGACCGCUGCUGCUGCUGCAUAUGUCAGGAUCAGGAUAUCGCGGCUGCUGAGGGCGGCGGCGACGACGAAGGCACCGUGAGGCUGCCAUGCUCACACACGUUCCACGUCCGCUGGCUUGCGCGGUGGUUCGAGGCGGUGACGACGUGCCCCCUGUGCCGCCGUGACAUGGUCGUCCACCUUGAGGCCGUCUACACACACGAUCGAGAGCAAGGCCGUAACCGAGAAACUAAAGGCCCUAUACAAGUAUAA
rnacentral:rRNA from 1 species